ACAAUGAAGAGACCGAGUGAUGG
rnacentral:snRNA from 1 species